UGAACGCUGGCGGCGCGCCUAACACAUGCAAGUCGAACGGCACCUAUCUUCGGAUGGAAGCGAGUGGCGAACGGCUGAGUAACACGUGGAGAACCUGCCCCCUCCCCCGGGAUAGCCGCCCGAAAGGACGGGUAAUACCGGAUACCCCGGGGUGCCGCAUGGCACCCCGGCUAAAGCCCCGACGGGAGGGGAUGGCUCCGCGGCCCAUCAGGUAGACGGCGGGGUGACGGCCCACCGUGCCGACAACGGGUAGCCGGGUUGAGAGACCGACCGGCCAGAUUGGGACUGAGACACGGCCCAGACUCCUACGGGAGGCAGCAGUGGGGAAUCUUGCGCAAUGGGGGGAACCCUGACGCAGCGACGCCGCGUGCGGGACGGAGGCCUUCGGGUCGUAAACCGCUUUCAGCAGGGAAGAGUCAAGACUGUACCUGCAGAAGAAGCCCCGGCUAACUACGUGCCAGCAGCCGCGGUAAUACGUAGGGGGCGAGCGUUAUCCGGAUUCAUUGGGCGUAAAGCGCGCGUAGGCGGCCCGGCAGGCCGGGGGUCGAAGCGGGGGGCUCAACCCCCCGAAGCCCCCGGAACCUCCGCGGCUUGGGUCCGGUAGGGGAGGGUGGAACACCCGGUGUAGCGGUGGAAUGCGCAGAUAUCGGGUGGAACGCCGGUGGCGAAGGCGGCCCUCUGGGCCGAGACCGACGCUGAGGCGCGAAAGCUGGGGGAGCGAACAGGAUUAGAUACCCUGGUAGUCCCAGCCGUAAACGAUGGACGCUAGGUGUGGGGGGACGAUCCCCCCGUGCCGCAGCCAACGCAUUAAGCGUCCCGCCUGGGGAGUACGGCCGCAAGGCUAAAACUCAAAUGAAUUGACGGAAGGGCGAAUUCUGC
rnacentral:rRNA from 1 species